UAAUCUGCCAAAUAAAUCCGACACACGGUCCGAUGAAACGCUGGAAUCGAGUGUGACGCGACUCACCUGUAAGUAACUUAAAGCGCAUUUCUCUUGUUCAGUGACGUGCACGCGCUGUUUAACGUAUCGCCCUGAUAUUAACACUGUAAAGUAUAAUAAUGAGGAUUCUCGCUGGUUGUCUCUGUUGAUCCUGCAGCAGGUGUUGUGUGAAGCUCUGAUGAUUCUAGUUCUGACUGUCAUAAUAAGAGCACAGACAUUAAAAUGCGGUUUUAUUUUUUUUUAUAUAUAAAAAUGUGUCGCAAAAAAUGAAAUGCAUGAUGCAAUAAAUUAAAUUUGAUGUCAUUUUACAGGCAGUGAGUGAACACUGAAUCAUUUGCUCGCAGUGUUUCUAGAAUCCUGUUCUCAGGUUUUGUAGAUCAGGGAUUCUUCUGGAUGGGAGAUUGUAUUUUAUGAUUCAGCAUUUCCUAUUUGUUUAGGUUUUUUUUUUUUUGUUAGCUUUUUAUUUUAUUUAUUUUUUUACUAUUUCCUCUGUUUAUGCUUUGGGAAAUUAUCCAACACUAAUAUAUAUUUUUAUAUUUUUAUUACAUGUUUUUAGUCUUGAUAUGCAGUAUGUCUGAUAAUGGCUGUAUUUCUGUCUUGUCUCUCCAGAAUGAGUGGUAUCUUGGUUGUAAACUGGUCCGGCUGAAGCAGAGCUCUGGGACGUGUGGACAGACAUUGACUGUAUUGAUGGACAUCUGCUCAUGGACAGCAUAACCGCUGCUGGUCACAGUGCCGGAAGCUCCAGGGGGAGACCGUAAUGAUAUCCCCCUUCUUUGGGCGCGCCUUCACACACACUCCACCAUUCACUCAUAUCGCAGAGACCUGGCUGGGAUUGAACCAGCAACCUCUGAACCGUGAGGCAGCGCUCUUACCUGUGAGCCACAGGUCUCUUGUUGAACCACUGGAAGGAACUUAUAUUUGACUGUUUACCUGUGAUUUCCCAAUAAAGAAGUUAAAGUAAAUGUGAUUUCCCAA
rnacentral:lncRNA from 1 species